GACGAACGCUGGCGGCGUGCUUAACACAUGCAAGUCGAACGGAAAGGCCCUGCUUUUGUGGGGUGCUCGAGUGGCGAACGGGUGAGUAACACGUGAGUAACCUGCCCUUGACUUUGGGAUAACUUCAGGAAACUGGGGCUAAUACCGGAUAGGAGCUCCUGCUGCAUGGUGGGGGUUGGAAAGUUUCGGCGGUUGGGGAUGGACUCGCGGCUUAUCAGCUUGUUGGUGGGGUAGUGGCUUACCAAGGCUUUGACGGGUAGCCGGCCUGAGAGGGUGACCGGCCACAUUGGGACUGAGAUACGGCGCAGACUGCUACGGGCGGCAGCAGUGGGGAAUAUUGCACAAUGGGCGGAAGCCUGAUGCAGCAACGCCGCGUGCGGGAUGACGGCCUUCGGGUUGUAAACCGCUUUCGCCUGUGACGAAGCGUGAGUGACGGUAAUGGGUAAAGAAGCACCGGCUAACUACGUG
rnacentral:rRNA from 1 species